rnacentral:rRNA from 1 species
UACGAAGGGGGCUAGCGUUGCUCGGAAUCACUGGGCGUAAAGGGUGCGUAGGCGGGUCUUUAAGUCAGGGGUGAAAUCCUGGAGCUCAACUCCAGAACUGCCUUUGAUACUGAGGAUCUUGAGUUCGGGAGAGGUGAGUGGAACUGCGAGUGUAGAGGUGAAAUUCGUAGAUAUUCGCAAGAACACCGGUGGCGAAGGCGGCGACCUGGUCCGAUACUGACGCUGAGGCGCGAAAGCGUGGGGAGCAAACAGG